rnacentral:rRNA from 1 species
AGCGAACGCUGGCGGCAUGCCUAACACAUGCAAGUCGCACGGGGGGGCUUCGGCCUCCCAGUGGCGGACGGGUGAGGAACGCGUAGGGACCUGUCGAGGGGUGGGGGAUAACCGCGGGAAACUGCGGCUAAUACCGCAUGACGCCGCGGCGUGACAGCCGGGGCCAAAGGCGAAAGCCGCCCGCCGAGGGGCCUGCGUCCGAUUAGCUGGUUGGCGGGGUAGCGGCCCACCAAGGCGUCGAUCGGUAGCUGGUCUGAGAGGGUGAUCAGCCAGACCGGGACUGAGACACGGCCCGGACUCGUACGGGAGGCAGCAGUGGGGAAUAUUGGACAAUGGGCGCAAGCCUGAUCCAGCAAUGCCGCGUGGGUGAAGAAGGUCUUCGGAUUGUAAAGCCCUUUCGGCGGGGACGAUGGUGACGGUACCCGCAGAAGAAGCCCCGGCUAACUUCGUG